UACGAAGGGGGCUAGCGUUGCUCGGAAUGACUGGGCGUAAAGGGCGCGUAGGCGGCUUGCACAGUCAGGCGUGAAAUUCCUGGGCUCAACCUGGGGACUGCGCUUGAGACGUGUGGGCUUGAGUGGGGAAGAGGGUCGUGGAAUUCCCAGUGUAGAGGUGAAAUUCGUAGAUAUUGGGAAGAACACCGGUGGCGAAAGCGGCGCGCUGGAUCUCUUCUGACGCUGAGGCGCGAAAGCCAGGGGAGCAAACGGG
rnacentral:rRNA from 1 species